rnacentral:rRNA from 1 species
ACACAUGCAGUCGAGGGGUAGGGUAAGCUUGCUUACCUGAGACCGGCGCACGGGUGCGGAACGCGUAUGGAACCUGCCCCUGUCAGGGGAAUAGCCCAGGGAAACUUGGAUUAAUGCCCCAUGGUAUCGGAGCAUCGCAUGAUGUUCCGAUUAAAGAUUUAUCGGACAGGGAUGGCCAUGCGUACCAUUAGCUUGAUGGUGGGGUAACGGCCCACCAUGGCAACGAUGGUUAGGGGCCCUGAGAGGGGGGUCCCCCACACUGGUACUGAGACACGGACCAGACUCCUACGGGAGGCAGCAGUGAGGAAUAUUGGACAAUGGUCGGAAGACUGAUCCAGCCAUGCCGCGUGCAGGAUGACGGCCCUAUGGGUUGUAAACUG